rnacentral:rRNA from 1 species
UACGUAGGGGGCAAGCGUUGUCCGGAUUUAUUGGGCGUAAAGAGCGUGUAGGCGGCCAUGUAGGUCCGUUGUGAAAACUCGAGGCUCAACCUCGAGACGCCGAUGGAAACCAUGUGGCUAGAGUCCGGAAGAGGAGAGUGGAAUUCCUGGUGUAGCGGUGAAAUGCGCAGAUAUCAGGAAGAACACCGGUGGCGAAGGCGGUUCUCUGGGCAUUACCUGACGCUGAGGAGCGAAAGUGUGGGGAGCGAACAGG